GUGGAGUGCCCCUGAAAGGUCAUACUCCUCCAUUUUGUCUUUUAAUGUUCAUGCCCCGGGAGUUACUUCUUCCUGGUAUCUUCCUUCAAUUAACACUUUAACGUGACAGCUGUGGACCAUCAGGAGAUUGUCGCUCCCUGGCAGUGACAGCCAAAUUAUCAUUUUUAGAGAGGCAACGCGAUAACUGUCAAACCAUCCUCCAAUAAUCACCUUAGGGUCCUGGUGGGUUGGGGAGAGAGCCCUCUCCUCCCCUACUCAUGGCCUGUCUAACUCUCUGCAACAAGUUGCUUUAUUGCAAUAUUUGUUUUAUUGUGUUGGUCUGGAACUGAACCUGCAGUAUCUUUGAGGGUUGCCUGCAUUAAAGAAUUUCUAUGAUGAAGGAAAUCAAAAAGUUACGUGAAUGGUUUAAGAAAGCAAACUUCAGAAGAGCCCAUGACCUUUAAUAGAAAUAUCUAUGUUCGUUUAUUUAAAAACUAUUCAUAGUUGCUUAAGGUGAUAUCUCUUGAUGUGAUAGCUCUAUUUUUCUUAUAAUAUGGCAGUUGAAUCCCAAAGAAAAAACAGUUUCACAGGACAAUACCUCAAGUAAGAUCUCUUAUUUUCUCCUGUGACGCUCUCUAAUGUCCCAUUGACCAAAGCCAGUCAUAUGAACAAGCUCACUGUGAAAGUGUGACAGGACUGCCCCAAGCAUGAAAUCUGGGAGACAUGGAUCAUGGUGAGCAUCGAAAUAACAUCAAUAUGAAAAUAUUUCUACAAUUUUGGUGAGAAAGUGUAAGAAAAAGAUAUUUAUUAUUUAUUCGUGGAUGAACAUUCAAGAGUAGUAAGAAACAAAGUGCUUCCUUUCAUUAUAACGCAAAAUAAGCAUUUAAUAAGUACAUUUAAAAUGUUACUAAUAUGGAAUAAAGAUUAUGCUAGAGCCGUAUGUCUAAAAAUAAUAUUUUUAAAAUGUGUAAGUGUAGUUUUUAAACAUAUGAGGUUUCUUCUCAGCAAGCAGACUAAGUAGCUUUAUUGAGGAUCUUACUGGGAAAACAAGAGAAAAAUAUCAAAAAUGUACAAUUAAACAUUUUGAAAAAAAUGUUCUUAAUGGAAUUAAUUAAAUACUGAUAUAGUUAGAAAUAUUUAAAUACCAAAACUAAGUGAAAAUAAAAAUUCUAUAUCUGGCUUUUUCGUUAAGAAUAUUUGCAAAUAGGGUAAAUUUGAGUUUCAAUUACCUUGACCUUGAGGCACACAGGGGCAGUUGGUAAAAGCCCGUGUCAGCCAAUUUGAGGCAAACUACAAAGGUAGAAGCCAAAAUUUCUUCCCCUUGAGUUAUUAAAUCCAAACUCAAAAAAUCACAUACACACACACACACACACACACAUACACACACACAAACGCAACAAAACCUCUGGACUGUGAGAAAUGUAUUUCUGCUCAUUAUAAAUUACUCAGUCUCAGGUUUUCUGUUAUAGCAGCAUUUUGGUAAUAACUAAUAAUAAAACAAUACACUCUUGAGAAUUCAUAGCUAUGUGAUAUAAGUAUUAUUUAUAAGAACUAGUUUACAUCUAAGAUGUAAUUCACUCUGUGAAAUCAGAAAAAAGUAUUAAUGCCUAAUUAUUGGGAGUUAUGACUGCAUAUUGUAACAAUUUUGAACUGCUUGAGUUCAGUAAAAGAAGUCUUCAUGGAAGUAAAGUAACUAACAUCAAAUUAGAGAAAAUAAUUCAGAAGCAAAACAAUAACAAGUAACAGUGAACCUUCAGUACACUUCUCUGCAUUAAAAAUUAUUUGUAUAUUUUAAAGACAUAAUUUAGAACUUCCUGACACUGCUGUAAAACAUAGUCUACUGAUCAGAAAUAUAAGUUUUCCACACAUAAUGCUCAUCUUACUUGAAGAAAAAUGUUUCAAGCAAAGAUGUCUUUUAUAACAAAGACAGCCACCUAAGAAAAAGUAGAACACUUCUGUGGUUUGAAUAUGAUCUUCAAAAAGCAUGUGCUGGAGACUUAAUUCCUAAUACAGCAGUGUUGGGAGGUAGAUCCUAAUGAAGGGUGAUUAGACUGUGAGGGCAGAGUGAAUGAAUCAAUGUCAUUAUUGCAGGGGUAGGUUAGUUAUAAGACGGGAAGUUCUGCAAUCUCUCUCUCUCUCUCUCUCUCUCCUCUUCCCCUCUCUUUGCCCUUUCAUGAUCUGAUACCUCCAAUGUGUUAUGAGGCAGCAAUAAAUUAUUCACCAGAUGCCAGCCCCUCAAUUCUGGAAUUCCCAGUCUCCAGGACUGUGAGAAAUGGAUUUCUGCUCAUUAUAAAUUGCUCAGUCUCAGGUUUUCUGUUAUAGCAGCAUAAAAUGGACUAAAACAGACACUAUCUUGAUUUAUAGCUCUUUGCAAUUAUGUUUAAUUAUUUUGGAAAUUUUGUUGCAUUCACUGGUUUACCCUAGUGUAUUAGUCCAUUCUCACAAUGCUAUGAAACAUUGAACUGCCUGUGACUCUGUAAUUUAUAAAGAAAAGAGGUUAAAUUGAAUCACAGUUCUGUAGGGCUGGGGAGGCCUCAGGAAACUUACAAUCGUGGCAGAAGGGGAAGCAAACAUGUUAUUUUUCACAUGGCAGCAGGAAGGAGAAAUGCCAAACAAAGAGGGAAAAGUCCCUUAUAAAACCAUCAGAUCUCCUGAGAACUCACUCACUAUCAUAAUAACAGCAGCAUGGGAGUAACUGCCCCAGUGAUUCAAUUAUCUUCCACUGAGUCCCUCCCAGGACACGUGGGAAUUACGGGAACCUCAGUUCAAGAUGAGAUUUCAGUUAGGACACAGUGAAACCAUACCAUUCUGCCCCUGGCCCUUCCUAAAUCUCAUGUCCUCACAUUUCAAAACACAAUCAUGCCUUCCCAAGAGUCUCCCAAAGUCUUAAUUCAUUUCAGCAUUAACUAAAAAGUUCAUAGUCCAAAGUCCAUUCUGAGACAAGGCAAGUCCCUUCUGCCAAUGAGCCUGUAAAAUUGAAAGCAAGUUAAUUAUUUCCUAGAUACAAUAGGGGUACAGGCAUUGGGUAAAUACAGCCAUUUCAAAUGGGAGUGAUUGGUCAAAACAAAGGGGCUACAAGCCCCAUGCAAAUCUGACAUCCAGCAGGCAUUCAAAUCUUAAAGCUCCAAAAUGACCUCCUUUGACUCUAUGUCUCAUAUCCUGCUCACAUUGAUGCAAGAGGUGGGCUCCCAUGGCCUUGGACAGCUCCACCUCUGUGGCUUUGCAGGGUACAACCCCCUUCCUGGCCGCUUUCACAGACUGGCAUUGAGUGUGUGCUGAUUUUCCAGGUGUAGAGUGCAAGCCAUCGGUGGAUCUCCCAUGCUGGGGUCUGAAGGAUGGUGACCCUCUUAUCACAGCUCCGCUAGGCAGUGCCCCAGUGAGGACUCUGUGUGGGGACUCUGACCCUACAUUUUCCUUCUGCACUGCCCUAGCAGAGAUUCUAAACUCAUGAAAAAUAUAAGGUUAUUUUUAUUUAUCUUUUUAUGUGAUCCAUAUUUUCUCUCUCUCUCUCUCUCUGUCUGUACUUUCCUCCUUCAUUCUCUCAAAUUGCAGGUUAUUCUUUUUCUCUCCAGUGUGCUAAACUUUCUUUACUUCCUGCCCUAGAAAAAGUCUAUAUUCUUGCCCAGGUUUAGGGCCUCAGUGGACCCUGAAUUAGGAAAUGUUCUUUAGUCCUGACCUAUUUUCAUGAUCUCAUUAAGGGUUUUCUACACUGUUUUCUUUUUGGAAACAAUGUAUAGGUUUAUGCGUAAUCUGUUCAUAGGAAUGGUGCAUUAAGGAGGGGCCUCACUGACAGUCUCUUCAGUAUUUCAUUUUGGGCUGGUCAGUUUCUCUGGGAACUAUUCCCGAAAGGUCUUUGUUUGAUAGUAGAGGACAGGGUGAAAAUAAAGAUGGGCAUUGGCUUUCAGUUUGCAUGCAUAAUAAAGAUUUCUGCUUUUGGCCUGUUACCUCUGCCUACAAAAGUGUCUGAAUUCCCCUCAUUAAUAAGUCCUAUUCUUUAUCAUCUCCAGAGAACAAAUUGGCAUUCUUCUCUCUGUUUGAGGGACUGUUAGACAUGUGGCUGAAUGCAGUGGAGGAAGAAACUCAGGAUGCUGCUCAUUCUUGAAUAGGUUUUAAGUGACUAUCCUAAUUUUGUGACCCCUGGGUUAUCACUACUUUCAGAGGUAUCAGACGCUUUUAAUUCAUGAAUCUUGACAAUAAUGCAAGUUUGUUGAACAAUUUUUGCUGAAGCACCCCCCAAAACCAAAAACAAAUAUUUAACUACAUGGAUAUUGGGAGUACCAACAAACUCAUAUAAUGUAGAAGACCAUAGAAUAAUUUGUACAAAUUGAAAGAUGAUACGGGAACUUGACAAUGACAUUGCCUUUAAUGUUAAACAUGAUGCAGAAUUCAAAAAAGAUUAUGGAAAGGUUGUAUUAAUUUCAGCAGAGAUGGAAGGAUUUGGACAUAUUGUUUGGUACUGUCAUAUGAGAUACAAAAUCAGAAGAGGGAAAAUAAUAAAGACCAAUGAAAUUUA